ensembl:lncRNA
GCGCGGGUUAGGCUUCCAGGGGUUUGGGAGCGCGGGCGCUGUCCGCACGAGAGCAGGUCCUGAAACGCGGCGUGCUGCCCACCCGUCGGACCCCCGCAGCGCCGGCAGUUCUCUUUUUCCUCGCGGUUCGAGGGAAAACCUGUUUAUGUACAUAUUUACACACCAAACGUUUUGGACGUUUAUUUGUCGGGGAUUCAAGCGCGAGCGCGGAGAAACGCGUUUGAAUUUUAGGGAAACUGGGAUUUUUCUGUUUUUUACACCAACGCGUAAAAACAAGAAACUCACGCAGAAAGCCGGAGCCGAAGACGUUUGUGCCGCGAGUGCCACCAACACGCAGCGAGACAGAGAGAGAAGGGGGGAGAAGGGGGAGAGAUAACAGAGUGAGCAAGAGCCGUCCUUCACCUCUCUCCCGGGAUAACAACUUUUUAUUUUGUAUUUUCCCCGCUGUUCUUUUCUUCUUCUUCUUCUUCGGCCGCUGGUGGAUACGAGACUCCACGAUGUGAGCAGUCACCCGCUCUCGCGCGCUAUUGAUGGAGAAUACCAAGUGUUGACGUGAAGGCGACCUGCCGAGGACCAUUUCUGACAAGAAGAAUAGAAAAGAGGAAAAAUAACACUGGAUUUGUAAACUUCAUAUUUUUUAUUUCUCGUAAAUAUUGCAAUAGACUCAAAGGAGAAAGUUCACGACCCCCUCCCACCCACCGUAUCCUCUUCAUCGGCUAAGUCGCAGUUCAGGGGUCACGGCCAGCGGAGCGAGAAGAAGACCAAAGGGAGGGAGUUUGCCCUCCAUAUAUUUUUUUUUGUUUUCGUUUUUGUUUGAAUGUGUUCCUUCUUCUGGCUGAGGAGACUUUGUGCGGACGAGCAGCCGAGGGAAUGAGCCCCAUCGCCGUCGCUUCCCUCCUCGGGUUCCUGGAGCCCCGUCGCGGUGUCCCGUCCCCGUGGGGAGGGAGCCCGUCUCCGAUUCCCAUUUUUGACGCUAUUACUUCUCUCCCCUCAACCUGAAAAAAAACCCCCUCUUAUUUUCUAUAAAUCUUAUUUUUAAAUAUAAUUUUGUAUUAGUGCAAGUCAAAGUAAAACCAGUGACACGUUGACAACCGAUUACUUUACAAACAUUUUUUGUUUGUUAAUUAAAAAAAAAAUCCGCGUUGUAGAGGGAACUGGAAGCCCCUUUCCCUUCACUGGAGGUCACGCUGCGUCAGUGAAGUGGCCGUCUGAAGCGGGGCGUCCGGGGGGCAUCGUCGGUAUCGGGGGCCUCGGCAGCGCGCCACCGUAACGAUGGAGAUUCACUGUAAGCACGACCCGUUUGCUGCAAUGCACAGUGCAUGCUGGGACAGGCUCCAGGUCUGGUGCUCAACAA